rnacentral:rRNA from 1 species
AGUUGGUGGAGUGAUUUGUCUGCUUAAUUGCGAUAACGAACGAGACCUUAACCUGCUAAAUAGUGAGGCGAAGCCUAGCUUCGUAGCUUACUUCUUAGAGGGACUAUACGAGACAAUCGUAUGGAAGUUUGAGGCAAUAACAGGU